CCCUUAGAUGUUCUGGGCCGCACGCGCGCUACACUGACGAAUGCAACGAGCUUAUAACCUUGGCCGAAAGGUCUGGGUAAUCUCCAAAUUUCGUCGUGAUGGGGAUAGAUUAUUGCAAUUAUUAAUCUUCAACGAGGAAUGCCUAGUAAGCGCAAGUCAUCAGCUUGCGUUGAUUACGUCCCUGCCCUUUGUACACACCGCCCGUCGCUCCUACCGAUUGAAUGGUCCGGUGAAGCGCUCGGACCGCGGCCUCUUGACGGUUCGCUGUCGAUUGGCUGUGGGAAGUUCGUUAAACCUUNUNAUUUAUNGGAAGGAGAANUCGUANCA
rnacentral:rRNA from 1 species